rnacentral:lncRNA from 1 species
UGCAAAUUGACAAUAAUGUAAAGCAAACCACCGUUAUGAACAAAGCCCUCCAACUUGAGUAUCCUCGAGCUAGUUAUGCAAGAACAAUUAAAAUGUAACAAACUGAUAAAUAAGAGAAUGUAAGCUAAAGAGAGAAUAUUGUAUUGCUUUAAUCUGUGUCCUUGUAAGGUGCCUAUAAAUGAUGGGGACUCCCCUUUAUAUAAUAGAGAAAUUCUAAUUAUGGUAUAACUCUAAUUACAGAAGUAAAUUCCAUGAUUAGCCUAAAUUACCGCCUUUGAUUUGAUCUAUUCUUGAAUUUCCAUAGUGAUCUUCGACCGAUUACAGAUAUCUCGCAUUUUUGUUAUUGCGCUUUGCUCGAAGUCGGUCAAAUUUGGUCUCGAUCGUUGUUGGCCUCAAUCUCGACAGGCACCUCGAUUCUCGAACUCGAGAGCUCGUCUUCGUGCUCUGGCCCGACCCAUUACAAGGCUGACCCUCGAUGUGAUCCCUUGUCUCGAUUAAAUAGGGCUCGAUUUUGACUAUAUACAAAUUUAUAGAAGUCCAAACCUUUUCCUACAAGAAAAGAAACUAACCAAAUAUGAAAAAAUUAUAUCUUCCUUCUAGGAAAAGAAAAUUCCAAUUAUAAUAAAUAUAUUGUCAUUUUCAUAAUAAGAAAAUCUGGACAAACCCCUAAUAAUUUUUUCAUUUACUUCUCUCAUCGACUAUUUCUUUAUUCAACUAGGAAAAUAUAUGUUGUUUUACUAGUAAUUAGAAUAUUAGAGUGUAUUAGAGUGUCUUUUUGAGUACUUCAGUUAAGAAUAUUAGAGUGUAUGGCUUUAUGCAUUAGUUAGUAUUCAAACCGAAUAAACCAAAGAUAUCGAACUGAAUAAAUCGAGAUCGAAACGAGAAAAACCGAUCCAUACCUAUAGGAUUUUAAGAAAUCAAAAAUUAAAAAUACCGAAUCAAAAUAUCGUACCAUAUCGAACGACGAACACCCUUAUCCCUUGGUGAGUUAAAUUGGGGAAUUAUAUAGUAACUUAAGUAAUUUGAUAAUUUAAAAGACAAAAAUAAUAUUAACGAUCAUGUAACAUAUGAUAUAGCUAUAUGAGCGCAAUUAAAGUUUCUAGGAAAUAGCUACAUGAGAAUUGAGCGCAAUAGAAGUUCCUAGGAAAUCGUACAUAUGUGAAUUGAUAAGACCUAGCGACACGGUCGAAGCUUGGCUCUAACCAAAGUAAUAAAUUACAAUUCAGUAUAAUCCCACUUAGUGGGGUCUGGGGACGACACGGUCGAAGCUUGGCUCUAAACAAAGUAAUAAAUUACAAUUCAGUAUAAUCCCACUUAGUGGGGUCUGGGGAGGGUAGUAUGUACGCAGACCUUAUCUCUACCCUGGGGUAGAGAGGCUGUUUCCAAAUAUACCCCAGCAACCUUCUCUCCAAAAACUUCCCACCUUUGCUCUUGUGCAUAUUAUUGUAUAUUAUAUAGUUCCAAGUGUUUGAACUACAUAGGGAAAUACAUAAAGGAAAAACAAAUACAAAGUAGACUAUGGUUUGAGUUUGACUAAUAUCCGUCGACAACGUAAAGAAAAUUUUACACUAUCAGAUCACGAGAAAGAUAACUGUAAGUAAAGAUCAUCCAUAUAACAAGUAAUUAAGGGUGACGUGAUAGUGCAAAAAAUAUAUAUAUUGUCGACGUAUAUAAGUUAACUCUAUCUUUAUUAGAGAGCCAAUUCGUGAUAGUGCAAAAAAUAUAUAUGUUGUCAACGUAUAUAAGUUAACUCUAUCUUUAUUAGAGAGCCAAUUUAAGAAGUAGGGCAUGGACAUAUGUAACAGGAAGGAGUACAUGAGCAAAUCUCCAUUUUCCUACGUUGAAGCUCAGCAAAAAAGCCCUUUGAAACUGGAGUAAAAUAGUUGUCUAUAGUUGCAAUAGAAUCACUUAAAUAAUUACCAUCAGAAGAAGAAUUACAAAGAAUGAAAAGAAGGGAAAAAACCAUAAAAGUUGCAAAUAUGGACAUUUUGUUCUUCUUUGCCAUGGUUUAAAAUUUUGAGUGGCUA